GCGCGGGUGGCGAAACUAGAAGACGCACCAGCUUGAGGGGCUGGCGCCCGCAAGGGCGUGCAGGUGCAAGUCCUGUCCCGCGCACAA
rnacentral:tRNA from 2 species